rnacentral:lncRNA from 1 species
CAGAAAUCAGGAUCCAAUGUCUGCCUUACGAAGAAAGCGCUGACCAAAUGCCACAGCUUAUGUUUAGAUGGAGAUACCUCUCACAGGGCCUCUCUGUAUCUGCUUCAUCAGAUGAGUAACAUAUCCCGCCAUCUUAUUGUGGAACUUCUUGCUGGGGAUGAUGGUGAUCCUCUGGCACACGGGCUUGUUGGUGCAGAAGUUGUUGUCCAGAUAGGCCAAGUUGCUGAAUAGUUGAAGCCCAAAUAGGUGACAAAUUAAGGUAAAAGAAUUCAC